AUUGAACGCUGGCGGCAGGCCUAACACAUGCAAGUCGAACGAGUGGCGUAAGGAUUAGUAAUGUCUGGGCAACUGACUGGUGGAGGGCGAUACCUACUGGAAGCGGUAGCUAAUACCGCAUAGCAUGGGAUGUGCCCAGAUGGGAUUAGCUAGGAGGUGGGGUAAAGGCUCACCUAGGCGACGAUCCCGAGCUGGUCUGAGAGGAGGACCAGCCACACUGGAACUGGGACACGGUCCAGACUCGUACGGGAGGCAGCAGUGGGGAAUAUUGCACAAUGGGGGAAAGCCUGAUGCAGCCAUGCCGCGUGUACGAAGAAGGCCUUCGGGUUGUAAAGUACUUUCAGCGGGGAGGCGUUACCCGCAGAAGAAGCACCGGCUAACUACGUGCCAGCAGCCGCGGUAAUAC
rnacentral:rRNA from 1 species